GACGUAGGGCGCGAGCGUUGUCCGGAUUUAUUGGGCGUAAAGAGCUCGUAGGCGGCUUGUCGCGUCGUCCGUGAAAACCUGGGGCUCAACCCCAGGCUUGCGGUCGAUACGGGCAGGCUCGAGUGCGGUAGGGGAGAUUGGAAUUCCUGGUGUAGCGGUGGAAUGCGCAGAUAUCAGGAGGAACACCGAUGGCGAAGGCAGAUCUCUGGGCCGUAACUGACGCUGAGGAGCGAAAGCAUGGGGAGCGAACAGG
rnacentral:rRNA from 1 species